CUAUCAACUUUACGUGAAGUCGACUGCACCUGAGUUUCCACCUUUACAAAAAUGAUAGUAAUUAAUAGUGGAGAGUGAGAUGACUCUGAUCAAACUCUUGGCCAGUUACACAUUAAGACUCAUGUACUUGUUUCUGUAAUGAAUGACAUGUUUCCGCCCUUGAAUAUCUUCCAGCAGAAUGAUCAGCAAGCACCUUCUCAAAAGCUCCUUCGCAACCACUCUAUGAGCAGAAGUCAUGGUCAACUCUGAGAUUGGUGUGCUUUUUGAUUAUUUCCAUUUGCUUGAUGUCAAGGCAUGCUACUCUAGGUAUAUUUCAAAGUCUCUGGGUAGAGAUUUACGAGGGUCUAGCAGACUUUUUGCUUUUUUUUUUUCUCUUUUGCUGUUUCUGUGCAAAUAAUCGUAUACAGAUAAAUAGAUAAAUCGGUUGUUCAGCAGAACUUAUAGAUCUCGUGCAUUAAUCUGCAUGGUUAAUUAAUUAUGUAGAAGACUAAAGCUUUUAUGGAACAACUUCAGUUUGCUUCGAGAUUCCUAGUUAGAGGCAUUUAAGUGUAAAUACUGUGAUGAUGUAUUUGCUUUUUAUAAUAGUUUUCUGUUAUUUGUUCCUUUUAUUUA